UUUAAAUAACUUUAGCACACAUAUACAAUUUGCCAUAAGAAACAUACUAAAUUAAUCAUACCGUAAUACAAGUAACAAAAUCAAAAGAUCACUAUGUUCCAUAUCAUCAUCUAUAUAUAAAUAUCUAAUUAUCAUUAAUUUAGCAUCAUCUAGGCAAAUCUAAAAGAAAAAAAUCCCACUCAAAUAAGCAAUUACAAAAUGAAUUGAUGACUAAACAUAUAUAUCAUUCGUUACAUCAUGCUUGAAAUAACAUAGCA
rnacentral:lncRNA from 1 species